UAAAAGUUCUUUAAACAC
rnacentral:tRNA from 4 species